UACGGAGGAUGCGAGCGUUAUCCGGAUUUAUUGGGUUUAAAGGGUGCGUAGGCGGGUUGUUAAGUCAGCGGUAAAAUUUGGAGGCUCAACCCCUUUAAGCCGUUGAAACUGGUGAUCUUGAGUGGGCGAGAAGUAUGCGGAAUGCGUGGUGUAGCGGUGAAAUGCAUAGAUAUCACGCAGAACUCCGAUUGCGAAGGCAGCAUACCGGCGCCCGACUGACGCUGAAGCACGAAAGCGUGGGUAUCGAACAGG
rnacentral:rRNA from 1 species